GUGAAGGUGGGGCUCGAAGAAGUAUGGCCCUGAUGCGCUAGGUUUGUCAUUUUUGUCAGCAUCCGCUUCCUUUGUUGGUUGUCGCUUGUUUGUACAUAGUUGUAGUUCAGAGAUGCCACCCAAUUUGCUAAUAUAAUUGUUCAUUGCUCUCUCACGGCAAUUCUUACAAAAUUAUCAUGCAUACAGUUCCCUGUUUAAGUAGAAUAUAACCACUGGGUUAUUCAAAUGCAGAUUCUUUUGUAACUCAAGAGGUUAUAUUUUAAUUGCAUGCACUUACUUUAGCUUAGGGGUUCAUCUGUACGGGAGCACAUCAUUGGAGAGAAAGAUCAUGAUCAAAGGAAAUAGGUUUCAGGUACAUACUCUGUACUAUUAGAAACAUAUGAGCAAGGUUGUCACAAUGACGCUCUAUAUCGCAAUCUUUUCUAGAAACCGACUUCAUAGUUUUCCCAUGUGACGUGACUACAUGUUCUACUUUCUUAUUGUAAACAUGCUAAUAUCUUUCUUCUUAUACUAUAACAAAAUGCUCAGUUCUUUUCAUUGAAUAUAGACACAACUUUUUCUUUGGGUACAUGUAUGAUUAGAUGUAUAAUUAGUAGUGCUUUCCGUCUGACACUUUUUUUAUGGCUGGGAGGUUUGACACAAAUAUCCAUAUAAUUCUGCUUUUCUUCUCUAUGCCUCAAGCUUGCUCUCCUAUGUUACAAUGCAGGCUCAUGCGCCUGUUUUCCUUUUUCCUUUUGAUGGGGCCGUUCAGGUGAGGUGAAGCAAGCAAGCACCUCCCCGUGUUUUAUAUGUAAGCAAUCACCUCCCAAUCACCUCCUAUUGUUCGUUUAAACCUUUGUUCUGUAUUAGCACUACUGGAUAACCAUUAUUUUUCCGCAAAAAAAGGAUAACCAUUAUUUCAUCUUUUUGGUCUACAUAGAUGAUUUCCCCUGAGGAUUGUAGUAAUGUUUAAACAAGUAGGCAAUUUCUUGCCAUUAGCACCAUUAUGACCAUUAUUUCCUAUGCAAGCACACAAUUGAAAAGUUUGUUUGGAUGGUUAAUUUAGUUCUUUGUGUUGGAUCCACAUCUUCUCACGUCCGACAUCGUGCUCACGGAGCCUGGCCUUUGCGUUGUGUUCUCCAUCUUGCAGGGCAUGAUGAACUACACGGUAGAGUUCAGCCGAAGAAGAAUCAGGUGAUUCUAGAUUGUUGUGUAAUUGUUUAUAUUCCUAACUGAGAUGGGAUUAUAGUUUAUUUGCUUGAUUAUUGGUCAUGUUUUACUUAGAUAAUCCAUUGAUGGUUGAUCUGGUUAAGUACAUAUGCUAUCCCUUGUUUGUUUAUAUUGCUAGCUGGGAUGGGAUUACAGUUUAUUUGCUUGAUUAUUGGCCGCGUUUACUUAGAUAAUUCAUUGAUGGUUGAUCUUGUUAGCUACAGAUGCUACCCCCUGUUCUGAACAAGCUUUAAUUUUGGUGGACUAAUCCCAGUUUGAUUUUAGGAUGUGCAUGUACCCAGGUGGAUCAAAUACAGAUACCAAUCAUAUAGUAUUGUUUUUACUCGUGUGUUUUUCUUGUGCCUGCCAAACAUUUCAAAAAUUGAUUAUAUCAUUCAGAUGUAUUCAGGCUGGGUUUCUAUGAUCCAAAAAAAACAUCUGCCAUGGCUUUCUUUUUUACAUACAAAACUAAGUGUGGAGUUGUGUAUAUGUUCAUUGCUUUCUUAUCACAUUGCAUUUGUCGGAGGUGCUGUACUGAUCUGAAGGAAAUGCUUUUAUAUUUCCAAGUUGAUCAACUACACAACUUCUGAUCCUAAAGCCUUUCUUUAAAAGGGGCUGGUCAAUGCAGCUCUCCAUGUUGUGCUAUCUUGUUAUUGGGCUCUUUUUCGUUACUUAAAAUGGUCAGAUAUCUCUGAUGUUAAAUUCGUGGUUGAUUGCUUAUAUUCAAAAUAACUAUGUUAGUACACUGAAGCCAAUUUUUACAUUGUUAGUGAAGUUGGCUAAAUAGUUUUUGUGCCACUAAGAUAUAUAUGUGCACUGCAUUCUAACCCUAUAAAUUGUUGUGCUAUUAGUUUAAUCCGGAAUAUAAUUAUCUCAGUACCGGUACACUCUGCAAUAUAAUUAUGUUAUAUUCUGCUUUUGUCAGUUUGCUGGUCCAUAUUAAUUUCCUCGAGCUUAUUUUCACAUCUCGUCAUAUUUACACCUCUCCGCCGACUGCCACCUAUCAUGGAGGGAGAUGGCUUGGCCAGGCCGUCAACACCCAUCGGCAACUUCCGGCAGGCGCCGUCCUGUUCUUCCUCCCCUUACUCUGAUGCUUUCAUGGCCAAAAUCAUUAGCAGGAGCAAGAAGGUUAAGCACCAAUUAUGACUAAAGCUUUGUCUCUUUUGUGUACUAUGCAUGAUUGAUCUGAUUUUGCUGGUCAGCUUAUAAAUUCAAGUAAUAUGACUAUUGCAAUGCAUCUUACUACGUGUGUAUUUAUUUGCAUUGAUAUUUUCUCCUCCUUAGGCUCCAAAUCGUUUGUGGGACAUAAAUUAUUGUGCAUUAUUGAUGAUUAAUUUGCAAUUUAAAUUACAACAACUGGGUUUUAUAAGUGCAAUGGAUUGAAAUGUGACCUUCCAAUCAAGAAAUUUCCUCGGUGAGAAGCUUAUGUGAAGAAUGAUGUAAUUAAGUUAGCAAUUUACAGUUCUCUUCGAUAAUUGUAACUGAAUUGUCAAUGGCCAGUUCUCUUGAAUAAUGAGUCACUUGUGUUUUUGUAAUGUUUGUGGUCUUUUCUUUUCUUUUUCUUGAUUUGUAUUGUAUAUGCUACUCACAUAUUUGAACAUGCAUAGGUUCUCUUAGUCUUUAAUCCUGACUAUAAAAAUCCAUUGAUGGAAGCUGGGGAGGGCCGAGAUGAACAUCCGGCUCCCUGGGUCUAAGCCGUCAAGAUGGUAGAGAUAACGUUUCCAUGUCAUCUACUCCAGCAGCCGGACAAGGCAUAUAAAACCAUAGAUCCUUGCUCCUCAGGCCGCAAAAUGGUCACAGCGAUGUCUACGACCUCCUCCUAGAUGUAUUAAUCUCAAUCUCAUGUUUGAUUUUCUUACCUUUUCUCUUCUAAUGAUGUAAUUUCUUUUACUAAGAUAACACCAUGUUUGUUGUAAUGCCUUAUUUGAUGUAAGAUCCCUUUUCUAUUUUGAAUGAAUUUACUGCAUAUAUUUCUUAUUUAGUUUAGUUCAUCAUUCAGAAACGGUGGAACACUUUUGUCCUUCAUAGGUUAAAUGAGCAUUUCGAAU
rnacentral:lncRNA from 1 species